rnacentral:rRNA from 1 species
AUUGCCUCAGUAACGGCGAGUGAAGCGGCAAGAGCUCAAAUUUGAAAUCUGGCCCCCUCGGGGUCCGAGUUGUAAUUUGCAGAGGAUGCUUCGGGUGCGGUCCCCAUCUAAGUGCCCUGGAACGGGCCGUCAUAGAGGGUGAGAAUCCCGUCUGGGAUGGGCGGCCGCGCCCGUGUGAAGCUCCUUCGACGAGUCGAGUUGUUUGGGAAUGCAGCUCUAAGCGGGUGGUAAAUUUCAUCUAAAGCUAAAUACUGGCCGGAGACCGAUAGCGCACAAGUAGAGUGAUCGAAAGAUGAAAAGCACUUUGAAAAGAGAGUUAAACAGCACGUGAAAUUGUUGAAAGGGAAGCGUUGUCCACCAGACUCGCCCGGGGGGGUUCAGCCGGCACGUGUGCCGGUGUACUCCUCUCCGGGCGGGCCAGCAUCGGUUUGGGCGGCUGGUGAAAGGCCCCGGGAAUGUACCACCCUCCGGGGUGUCUUAUAGCCCGGGGUGCCAUACAGCCAGCCUGGACCGAGGCCCGCGCUUCGGCGAGGAUGCUGGCGUAAUGGUGGUCAACGGCCCGUCUUGAAACACGGACCCA